GACGAACGCUGGCGGCGUGCUUAACACAUGCAAGUCGAACGGUGAAGCCUUCGGGUGGAUCAGUGGCGAACGGGUGAGUAACACGUGAGCAAUCUGCCCUUGACUCUGGGAUAACUUCGGGAAACCGGAGCUAAUACCGGAUAUGACAUCUGGCCGCAUGGUCUGGGUGUGGAAAGAUUUAUCGGUCAAGGAUGAGCUCGCGGCCUAUCAGCUUGUUGGUGGGGAAUGGCCACCAAGGCGACGACGGGUAGCCGGCCUGAGAGGGCGACGGCCACACUGGGACUGAGACACGGCCCAGACUCCUACGGGAGGCAGCAGUGGGGAAUAUUGCGCAAUGGGCGGAAGCCUGACGCAGCGACGCCGCGUGAGGGAUGAA
rnacentral:rRNA from 1 species